UACAGAGGUGGCAAGCGUUGUUCGGAAUUACUGGGCGUAAAGGGCGCGUAGGCGGUUCGUUAAGUCCUGUGUGAAAUCCCCCGGCUCAACUGGGGAACUGCACAGGAAACUAGCGGGCUUGAGAUUGGGAGAGGGAUGCGGAAUUCCAGGUGUAGCGGUGAAAUGCGUAGAUAUCUGGAGGAACACCGGUGGCGAAGGCGGCAUCCUGGACCAACACUGACGCUGAGGAGCGAAAGCCAGGGGAGCAAACGGG
rnacentral:rRNA from 1 species